CAAAUUAUGGCGAACCUCGCGUUUCGCGAGGCCUUGCGUCCAUUUUCGUAUUUAAAACAUCCCACUCUUUAAAAAAUGUUUAUCUAAAUAAUAAAAAAAGA
rnacentral:misc_RNA from 1 species